rnacentral:rRNA from 1 species
CUGAGCACCAUGCCGCGUGAAUGAUGAAGGUCUUAGGAUUGUAAAAUUCUUUCACCGGGGACGAUAAUGACGGUACCCGGAGAAGAAGCCCCGGCUAACUUCGUGCCAGCAGCCGCGGUAAUACGAAGGGGGCUAGCGUUGCUCGGAAUUACUGGGCGUAAAGGGAGCGUAGGCGGACAUUUAAGUCAGGGGUGAAAUCCCGGGGCUCAACCUCGGAAUUGCCUUUGAUACUGGGUGUCUUGAGUAUGAGAGAGGUGUGUGGAACUCCGAGUGUAGAGGUGAAAUUCGUAUAUAUUCGGAAGAACACCAUUGGCGAAGGCGACACACUGGCUCAUUACUGACGCUGAGGCUCGAAAGCGUGGGGAGCAAACAGGAUUAGAUACCCUGGUAGUCCACGCCGUAAACGAUGAUUGCUAGUUGUCGGGAUGCAUGCAUUUCGGUGACGCAGCUAACGCAUUAAGCAAUCCGCCUGGGGAGUACGGUCGCAAGAUUAAAACUCAAAGGAAUUGACG